rnacentral:rRNA from 1 species
AUGAUGAGGAGAGGGGUCGAAGGUCGAAACAUGCCGCCUACCGACGAGCCGACGCCGAAACAUGCCGCCGCCACAGUCGACCUGCCAAGCUGCCGAGGAGCCAUCCAUGGACGGAGCAGCAGCCACAUCCAGCGAGCCACCCGAACACGCCAGACCGAGCCACCACGAGCCAGCACGUCGGAGCUACCACCAUGUAGAAGCCUUCACCACACCAGAGCGCAGCAGAGGCGGCCAACCGGUGCCGCUCACGGCCCUCGCCGCAAGGUACGACAGCGGCCAGAUCUGGCCGAGGCCAUCCGCCACCACCGGGACCCCCGCACGCGCCUCCAUCCAGCCUGCCGUCCGCCGCCACGGCCUGCGCCGUCCACGUGCAGCCGGCCGGAGGGGACCUGA